UACGUAGGUGGCAAGCGUUGUCCGGAUUUAUUGGGUUUAAAGGGUGCGUAGGCGGCCUUGUAAGUCAGUGCUGAAAUCUCCCGGCUUAACCGGGAGGGUGGCAUUGAUACUGCAGGGCUUGAGUAAAGUUGAGGUUGGCGGAAUUGACGGUGUAGCGGUGAAAUGCUUAGAUAUCGUCAAGAACACCGAUAGUGAAGACAGCUAACUAAGCUUUAACUGACGCUGAGGCACGAAAGUGUGGGGAUCAAACAGG
rnacentral:rRNA from 1 species